ACGCUCGACACCUACGGGAGGCAGCAGUGGGGAAUAUUGCACAAUGGGGGAAACCCUGAUGCAGCGACGCCGCGUGAGCGAAGAAGUAUUUCGGUAUGUAAAGCUCUAUCAGCAGGGAAGAAACUGACGGUACCUGACUAAGAAGCACCGGCUAAAUACGUGCCAGUAGCCGCGGUAAUCUGAGCGGGCUGGCAAGGC
rnacentral:rRNA from 1 species